UUUGUGUGGCAUAUAAUAAAAAAAAAAAAUGGCCAUCUAUAAUAAUUCAUUUGCAAAUCUUACUUGAUUUUGAAGCUAUAGGAUGCAUCAACUGUUAGCUGGGAUUCCUGGAGUUUAGUUUUUAAUUCUAAUAGCAAAACACUUCAAAGUCUACUUUAAGAUCCUAAGAAGGACCUUUAAUGCAAAAUCUUAACAGCUUCAGGAGCUUUCUCACCUUGAAGAAAGGGAAAAUGAAGAUAUUGUGGCACUUCAGAAGCAAAGCCUGACGUCCUUCUGUGCUUUAGAGGUGCUGCUGCCGUUCUAUGAGUGCAGGAGCCUUGGAGCUGGCGGCAGAAGAGCCUGUACAUAACCUGGAGGAAGGACCAUUAUCAUUCCUUAUGAAAAGGAAGAUAGCUCAGAGGCUUGCUAUUCAGAAAGCUUUGUCAGAUGCAUUACAGAAACUAUUGAUUGUGGUUUUAGGAAACUUGAUGAACAGGAAGUGCCUGAACAGAAUUGCUGUCUGCUUCGUAGCCCUGAAGGGUCAGAGACUGAAAAAUCAGAGAUGGCCCUGAUAAGUCUCAGCCUUCCAACCUGGGCAGCCCUUCUACUGGAAGUCUUACUUCCCUGCUCAGCAGGUAGACUGUUUUAAAAGAGAUGGCCCUGAUAAGUCUCAGCCUUCCAACUGUCAAGUCUGAGUAAUAACCUUCAAGCACCAGACUAGAUGUUUGUGUUGUUUAUCUCUCCCUAGUAUGCAAAGAUAUCCCUCAUACAUACACAAAAUCCUUAGACCAAAAGCCUAUGGCUUUAGUUUGCCUUGAAGGAAUUUGUAUUGUCUACAAUAUAUAGGCCAGUUUCUACCAAUAAAAUGUUCAAAUGCUGUCUAUCUGCGAAGCUUUGUAUAUUGUAUUUGGUGGAAUUUUGGUUCCCGGGGAGUCAAUACUUGUCUCUUGCUUCUAAUAUGUCUACAGGGGUCUCUAUCCCAGGUUUGAACUCACUUUGACCCUCAUUUUGACCCCCAUUUAAUGCCUUACUAUUUAAUCAUAUUAUGAUUGAACUUUUUUUAUUUUGAGACUGAGUCUCACUCUGUUGUCCAGGCUAUUGGAAUCAGCCUAGCUUAUAACAACUUCAAACUCCUGGUUUCAAAUGAUCCUCCUGCCUCAGCUGCCUAAGGAGUUGGGACUACAAGUACUGCCACAAUGCCGGCUGGGUUGUUUUUUUUUUUUUUUAAAUUUUAUUUUUGUCUUUAGUAGAAACAGGGUCUCACUCUUGCUCAGGCUGGACAUGAACUCCUGAGCUCAAGUGAUCCUUCCACCUCAGCUUUCUAGAGUGCUAGGAUUACAGGGAUGAGCCACCAUG